ACACUCCUGCGGGAGGCAGCAGUGGGGAAUUUUGGACAAUGGGCGAAAGCCUGAUCCAGCAAUGCCGCGUGUGUGAAGAAGGCCUUCGGGUUGUAAAGCACUUUUGUCCGGAAAGAAAUCCUUGGCUCUAAUACAGUCGAGGGAUGACGGUACCGGAAGAAUAAGCACCGGCUAACUACGUGCCAGCAGCCGCGGUAAUACGUAGGGUGCGAGCGUUAAUCGGAAUUACUGGGCGUAAAGCGUGCGCAGGCGGUUUGCUAAGACCGAUGUGAAAUCCCCGGGCUCAACCUGGGAACUGCAUUGGUGACUGGCAGGCUAGAGUAUGGCAGAGGGGGGUAGAAUUCCACGUGUAGCAGUGAAAUGCGUAGAGAUGUGGAGGAAUACCGAUGGCGAAGGCAGCCCCCUGGGCCAAUACUGACGCUCAUGCACGAAAGCGUGGGGAGCAAACAGGAUUAGAUACCCGUGUAGUCCC
rnacentral:rRNA from 1 species